UCCCAUUAUACAUGUCAAUACUGACAACAAGGAAAUUGAUAGUAAAAGGAAAAUCCGUC
rnacentral:tRNA from 1 species